rnacentral:lncRNA from 1 species
GCAUGCAGGGGCCAUUGUGACAUAUAGCCAUGCCAAUUGCCUAGGUGAAGUUUGUCUCCUCUCUUGCCUAAGCCCUUUCUACAGCGGGGAUUUAGAUGUAUCACCGAAACAAGCCUCCAGGUGAUGUGACUCUUCUUCCAGAGUCCUGCCCACAAGGAGGAUUGUGACAUUUCACUGGACCAGCACCCACUCAGACUCUGCCAAAAGGGGAUUAUUACAUACUGCAGAGCCCAGCACCCAGGUGGUUUGGUAACAUUUGAACCGUGAUUCAGCACACCUGUGGUGCUGUGACUCCCUUAAUGGAACACAAUCUUCAAGUGUGUUUGGGCAUCUUAUACAUGGAACUUGCCCAUUGUGGAGACUGUGACUCCUCUACUUCGACCCAACUCAUAGAAAAUGUUGACUCACAUACACGAAACCAGGACUCAUGUCGGAUGUGAAACUUAUUUCUGAACUUUUCAGAGUGUGAUUGGGACAGGUAACUUUGCCCAGCACAUGAAUAAUUUGACUCU